UGCAUUGCGCAUGAGUUGCGAUAUCGUAACCAAUGAGGUUUUACCGAAGUGCGGGUAUUGCAAGUUGAAAAAAAUAUCCUAUUUAAUAGUGUACCAUGAUUUUAUACAAGAAAUUUGGAACUGUUUUUUGUCUGUUAAUGGCUAACA